rnacentral:rRNA from 1 species
AGCGUAGACGGAAUGGCAAGUCUGAUGUGAAAGGCCGGGGCUCAACCCCGGGACUGCAUUGGAAACUGUCAAUCUAGAGUACCGGAGGGGUAAGUGGAAUUCCUAGUGUAGCGGUGAAAUGCGUAGAUAUUAGGAGGAACACCAGUUGCGAAGGCGGCUCUCUGGACUGUAACUGACACUGAGGCACGAAAGCGUGGGGAGCAAACAG